GGAGUCGGGCACGGCGCCAGUGCUCGCACUUCGCCCUAAUAAUAUAUAUAUAUUGGGACGAAGUGCGAACGCUUUGCGUUCUCACUUC
rnacentral:miRNA from 1 species